AGGUUAGUUUGGUCAUUUCAAAAAGGUAAAAGAAAUUAGGGAUUUUAUGCCCCCGUCGUCAUUUGUUGCUCGAUCAAGGAAAAGAAACGGGACCAUCCACUGUAGUCAAGAAGGAAGCACGAUGGCAGCUAGGGGUCCGACGAUUUCGGAUCGAUUACAGGCAAAGGGGGAUCUCCGGUGGUCAACGAGACCGAAGAACGAAGGGAGAAGCAGCGAGGAUGCGCUCUUCUCGUCCGACUGCGAGGUACGAAGGUAAAGUUGUCCGGGAGGGGAUAGGCAGCAGCGACGUCGCAGGUAGGCUCCGGUGGGGUUUAAUCGACGGAAGAAGAAGAGAAGGGUGCGAGGGGUGAGGCCAGAAGAGAUUUCGUCGGUCUCGGUGGGUGCAGCGAUGGCCUGCUCAUUCUUUGAUUCCAGCAGUAAGGUUUGUGAAGGAGUGGGAUACGAAAGGUGUUAUGGGUUCGCUGUGGACACGACGAGAAGGAAGAGACGGAGGGCGUCUUGGUGGUCAGAAAACACUCCAUCAAUGGAGGAAAAAGAGAUGUUUCUUGGCAGCAACCGAAGUAGAAGAAGAAGAACGGCAGAAGUGUCUUUACAGGCGUUUGUUUGCUCGAUGUUCAAUAGGAGAAAGAAUGAAGAAAUCAGUGAUUGUUUGGAUUUGUUGUGAUCGACGGGAAGGAGGGAAAGGAAACAAGGUUGUUCUUCUUGUUUGCAGAUAGUCGCGAGAACAAGAACAAAAUUGUUCUUGGCUGGAAACAAAGAUGCAGGCAGAAAAAAUCUGGAGGUGUUUUGGGUGGUUUCUUGGUUGAAGGAAGAAUGCAAGUAAACUUCAAUUUGUCAGCCAACUAAGGAGAUUUGCAAGUAGUGUUUUGUGUACUUUGAUUGAAUUGUGGAAGCAAAAAUCAUUUCCAUUUUGUUUGUGUGUUGACUUGGGUAAGUUAGAUUGUGGAAGUAGGACUUUAAAUUUGGCUGUAUUUUUUAUUUGAAUAUGCAUAUAUUUAGUGUUGUUAUAUGAUUUAAAUUACAUAACAUAACUGCAUUUUGAUUA